GAAAACAGCUCAUGCUUAAAUAAAUGAAAAGAUUUAGCGCACCCCAAACUCUGUCCAGGAUUGGUUUUCAAAUUACAUUGUUCGGUCCAAUGAGCCCCCGCUGGUUUAGAAAUUUUUUUUUUUUUUUUUUUCCUUUUUUUUUGCUUUGGCCCAGUCCUAGUCCACUAUGAAGAAUAGAAAUGAAAAGCUUUCAAUUGAUCAUCAUCUCUUUGUUUUCUUUGCUUACUUUAAUCUAAGCAUGGUUUGUCGAGUUAGCUGAUCAGUGGAUUGAGAUUCAAUAAUUUGAAGAGAGCUUUCGAUCUCUUCUCCUCUAAUAUCUCGUGUUCAUUCAGAUCAUCACAGGAGGUUGCAAAUAUCAAGGUUCUCAUAUAUGUCCCCAGCUGCUGUUCAAUGCAUACAAUCAAAUCAAGUAUCCCCGUUUAAACUGGCGCCAAAAUUUGGCACGGCAAUGGCCAACAUAUAUGGCUUGUUCAACGCAUCCCACUUUAACGCCUUUGUUUUCUCUCUCUCCGUCGGCAAGUUCUAUUUCCAUGCCCCUCUCGGGCGUCAAUGCCUAUUUUCCUUUCCCAUCAUCUUCUAAUUUCAUGCCUUUUGUGCCGUCGCCACAAGUCUUGACCCCUAUGGUAACUACAGCUGCAUGCUGUAAACCAAGAUGCGCCAGAAAGUCCAACAAGAGAUGUAGAGAAAGGUAUUCGAGACAAUUUACAAGUCGAAGAGGUGCCUCAGGCAGGAUAAUAGCAGGAGAGCUUCGAGCCUCGUGUGUUUAUGAAGUUAUUCAUUGUCACUAAGAUAGAUCGGACUUUCGCAAGUCUGCGCCCUUCAUCUCCAACAACUUCCUAGCAACAACCUCGGCAAUCAUGAUCUAUCUUGCAUGGGAAAAUUGGAGCUGAAAUCUGGGCGGUCUCACGGAUGCAUCGAUGAAACUACUAUUUAGUCUACUAAACGGCUUUUUUCUGUUAUGUCAUUGUGAUGUGGUUAAUGGUUGCAGGCUAAAGUGGCUCACUUUGUGGGUAUCCAAUGCAUGUACGGAUGUUAACUAACAUAUAUUGCAGGACUCUGUGUUUGUGUAAGCCGCUUUAAAUUGCA